rnacentral:sRNA from 1 species
AGCAGCCGCGGUAAUUCCAGCUCCAAUAGCGUAUAUUAAAGUUGUUGCAGUUAAAAAGCUCGUAGUUGAAUUUCGGGGUUAGUAGAUCGGUCGUGCCACUGGUAUGUACUGGUCUCACUGACUCCUCCUUCCUGAUGAACCGUAAUGCCAUUAAUUUGGUGUUGCGGGGAGACUGGACUGUUACUUUGAAAAAUUAGAGUGUUUAAAGCAGGCUAACGCUUGAAUACAUUAGCAUGGAAUAACGGAAUAGGACGUUCGAUCUUAUUUUGUUGGUUUCUAAGAUUGACGUAAUGAUUAAUAGGGAUAGUUGGGGGCAUUAGUAUUCAAUUGUCAGAGGUGAAAUUCUUGGAUUUAUUGAAGACUAACUACUGCGAAAGCAUUUGCCAAGGAUGUUUUCAUUAAUCAAGAACGAAAGUUAGGGGAUCGAAGACGAUCAGAUAC